AACAAUAUCCUGGUGCUGAGUGAGUUGCACACGGAGACUCCAGCAUCAGUGAUUUUGUUGA
rnacentral:pre_miRNA from 1 species